GGCGCCAUCGUCUAUCGGUUAGGACUUUUGCUUUUCAAGCAAAAAAGGCGAGUUCGACUCUCGCUGGCGCUG
rnacentral:tRNA from 1 species